rnacentral:lncRNA from 11 species
UUUCAUUCACCACUGCCAGCUGUAAAGGACUUCAGUUUCUGGCAGAAGUGAAUGAGCUCUAAGAGGAGUGGGAAGCCAGCCGAUCACCUUAUGAAACCCAUCCAUAGCACUCAAUCCCGCAAUGUUCCUAUCACCUACCUUGAUAUGAUGGGUCCCUUCCACUCCUGUGCCAGCAUACUGGGAAAAAAGUAAUAUCAUGAGGUAGG